GGGGAUGUAGCUCAGCUGGGAGAGCAUUACCUUCGCAAGGUAGGGGUCGUGGGUUCGAAUCCCAUCAUCUCCACCA
rnacentral:tRNA from 2 species